rnacentral:rRNA from 1 species
GAUGAACGCUGGCGGCGUGCCUAAUACAUGCAAGUCGAGCGAACGGACGAGAAGCUUGCUUCUCUGAUGUUAGCGGCGGACGGGUGAGUAACACGUGGAUAACCUACCUAUAAGACUGGGAUAACUUCGGGAAACCGGAGCUAAUACCGGAUGAUAUUUUGAACCGCAUGGUUCAAAAGUGAAAGACGGUCUUGCUGUCACUUAUAGAUGGAUCCGCGCUGCAUUAGCUAGUUGGUAAGGUAACGGCUUACCAAGGCAACGAUGCAUAGCCGACCUGAGAGGGUGAUCGGCCACACUGGAACUGAGACACGGUCCAGACGCCUAAGGGAGGCAGCAGUAGGGAAUGUUCCGCAAUGGGCGAAAGCCUGACGGAGCAACGCCGCGUGAGUGAUGAAGGUCUUCGGAUCGUAAAACUCUGUUAUUAGGGAAGAACAUAUGUGUAAGUAACUGUGCACAUCUUGACGGUACCUAAUCAGAAAGCCACGGCUAACUACGUG